GCACCAAAAUAUUUAGAUUUAUGCUAAUCCUGAGAAGCUUAGAAGGAGUAGAGAAGAAAGAGAUAUUCCAACCAAUUUCUUUAUUUUUAUUUUCUUUCAACCCCUCCUUUUGCCACUGACCAGUGGGUCUCUUAGGUCAGUCCAGCACUCCAGCAGCGUCAGCUACUCAACUCCAAGGGACACGCGCCGGCAAGGGCCGCAACACCCUGCCCGGCUGUCUCUUCAUCUUUUCUCCUCCUCCACUCUUCACUCUCCCCCCUGGAUCCCCUUUCUUGUCAAGCUCGCCGGGGACGCCGCCGCUUGCCGUUGCAACGCCAGCCGUUGGUCCGGAUCGACGCUCACGCCUCCGGCUCCGACAUGCACGCCCGUUGGACGCCGUCGUGAACCACCUCGCUUCUCCGCGUGCAGGUACGUCUUGAACCAAGGUCGCCUUUCUCGGUUCCGUCGGCCGCUGUUGCGACGCCGCCGCGGUCAUCCUCCUCACCGAGCAGCUCUAGGGGCCGUGACGGGCUCCGCGUUGUCCGCGUCUCCUCUGGACCACGGACUCGAAGCCGUGGGUCCCUCCUACUUCUUUCUCGACCGCUGACCGCCAUUGACGCCGUCCAAAACUUGUUGCCGUCCGUCCUCUCGCCUCCCUGCUCCGUCCGACCCCGCCACGAACAGCAAGGUUAAACAGGUACAUCUCAUGUUGUAUUGGCUGAAAGGCUGUGUGAUUGCCGGCUAUGGGAACCAUCAUAGCCACAUGUGUGCACACAUUGUCAUCAUCAUCGGACGACGAAACACUGUAGUUAGUGGUGUCCGUUUGUUCGCGUGUGAAGAAACCAGAUGGUGGCCGGGCUGUAUUGUUGGGUUGUGAUCUUGGUCUCCUCUCAUAAUCAACAACUGAUAAAAAUGAAGGAACCAACUGAGGAUGGUAAACCUAGGGAACUGUAAAGAUGGUGGCAGGAGGAUGUACCUGUGGCGUCCGGAGAUGGGUGCAGCAACAGCCGGCGCACGGAGGUGGCUGGUUCCGGCGGCCCUGUCGAGAAACAUCAUGAAACGGGAGCAGAGGUGCUGGUGCAGCAGAGGCUGUAGCAUGAGACGGGAGCAGAGGUUGCUGGUUCCGGCGGCAGCAGAGGCCGCAACUCGCACAUCUGCCGUGAGAGCGAUGUGGCCGGACUGGUUGCGGCCGAUGCGGUCGGGCGGCGACUAUGGGUCCAGCGAGAGGAGGAACUGGCGUUUCUGGCGACGUGCGUUCAGGGCUCGAUGGAGCUCUCGCACUUGUUUUUUUGUUUGGUUUGGCUCCGACGGUUUUUUUUGGUUUGGCAUGGACGUCUUUUUUGGUCAAAUGCAUGGAGUGGACGUGGUUCAUGGAUUGA